rnacentral:rRNA from 1 species
AGAGUUUGAUCCUGGCUCAGGAUGAACGCUAGCGGCAGGCCUAAUACAUGCAAGUCGAACGGAUGUAGCAAUACAUUAGUGGCGCACGGGUGCGUAACGCGUAUGCAACCUACCUUUCAGAGGGGGAUAGCCCGGGGAAACCCGGAUUAAUACCGCAUAAGAUAGUUGACUGGCAUCAGUUAACUAUGAAACAUUUAUGGCUGAAAGAUGGGCAUGCGUUAGAUUAGCUAGUUGGUGAGGUAGCAGCUCACCAAGGCGAUGAUCUAUAGGGGUUCUGAGAGGAAGAUCCCCCACACUGGUACUGAGACACGGCCCAGACUCCUACGGGAGGCAGCAGUGGGGAAUUUUCCGCAAUGGGCGAAAGCCUGACGGAGCAAGACCGCGUGGGGGAAGAAGGCUCUUGGGUUGUAAACCCCUUUUCUCUGGGAAGAAAGUUGUGAAAGCAACCUGACGGUACCAGAGGAAUCAGCAUCGGCUAACUCCGUGCCAGCAGCCGCGGUAAGACGGAGGAUGCAAGCGUUAUCCGGAAUGAUUGGGCGUAAAGCGUCCGCAGGUGGCAGUUCAAGUCUGCUGUCAAAGACCGGGGCUUAACUUCGGAAAGGCAGUGGAAACUGAACAGCUAGAGUAUGGUAGGGGCAGAGGGAAUUCCUGGUGUAGCGGUGAAAUGCGUAGAGAUCAGGAAGAACAUCGGUGGCGAAGGCGCUCUGCUGGACCAUAACUGACACUCAGGGACGAAAGCUAGGGGAGCGAAUGGGAUUAGAUACCCCCGUAGUCC